rnacentral:RNase_P_RNA from 1 species
AGAGCAGGUCGGGCGGUCGCUGCCGCGCCUUCGAAAGCGCGGGAGAGGAAAGUCCGAACACCGAAGGGCAGCGAGCCCGCUAACGGCGGGGCGCGGGGCGUUUAAAGGCUGCGAGAGCAGAUGCUUGAACGCCCCUGCGACGACAAGUGCAACAGAGAAGAGGCCAGCCAGCGGGCCUUCGGCUUCGGCCGUCGGCAGCGGGUGAUGGGUGAAACGGUGCGGCCCUCACGGGCUUAAAGUAAGAGCGCACCGGCGCGUCUGGUGACAGGCGCGGCCAGGCAAACUCCUCGCGGUGCAAGACCAAAUAGGGAGGCGGGCAAAGGGCGGCCCGUCCGAAUGCGCGCUCUUUCCGAGAGCGCGCCACGCCUCCGGGUAGGUCGCUUGAGCCGUACGGCAACGUCCGGCCUAGAGGAAUGAUCGCCCAUCCGCGAGUCGUCCGCGGCUCGCGGUGGACAGAAUUCGGCUUACAGACCUGCUCUCAAA